rnacentral:rRNA from 1 species
UACGUAGGGGGCUAGCGUUGUCCGGAUUUAUUGGGCGUAAAGAGCGUGUAGGCGGCCAGGUAGGUCUGCUGUGAAAACUCGAGGCUCAACCUCGAGACGUCGGCGGAAACCAUCUGGCUAGAGUCCGGAAGAGGAGAGUGGAAUUCCACGUGUAGCGGUGAAAUGCGUAGAGAUGUGGAGGAACACCAGUGGCGAAGGCGACUCUUUGGCCUGUAACUGACGCUGAGGCGCGAAAGCGUGGGGAGCAAACAGG